rnacentral:rRNA from 1 species
AGAGUUUGAUCAUGGCUCAGGACGAACGCUGGCGGCGUGCCUAACACAUGCAAGUCGCACGGGCCGUAGAGGGCUUGCUCUUUACGGUUAGUGGCGGACGGGUGCGUAACACGUUAGCAACCUGCCCUUCAGUGGGGGAUAGCCGGUCUAACGGCCGGGUAAUACCGCGUAACACCUCGGGAUCACAUGAUCCUGAGGUCAAAGCCGCAAGGCGCUGGGGGAGGGGCUCGCGACCUAUCAGCUUGUUGGUGGGGUAACGGCCUACCAAGGCAACGACGGGUAGCUGGUCUGAGAGGAUGGCCAGCCACAUUGGGACUGAGAUACGGCCCAGACUCCUACGGGAGGCAGCAGUGGGGAAUAUUGCGCAAUGGCCGCAAGGCUGACGCAGCGACGCCGCGUGUGGGAUGACGGCCUUCGGGUUGUAAACCACUGUUGGGAGGGACGAAGGUCCGGAAACGGGCUUGACGGUACCUCCAGAGGAAGCACCGGCUAACUCCGUGCCAGCAGCCGCGGUAAUACGGAGGGUGCGAGCGUUGUCCGGAAUCACUGGGCGUAAAGGGUGCGUAGGCGGUUCACUAAGUCGGAUGUGAAAUCCCGGAGCUCAACUCCGGGGCUGCACCCGAGACUGGUGGACUUGAGCAUGGUAGAGGCGAGUGGAAUUCCCGGUGUAGCGGUGGAAUGCGUAGAGAUCGGGAAGAACACCGGUGGCGAAGGCGGCUCGCUGGGCCAUUGCUGACGCUGAGGCACGAAAGCGUGGGGAGCAAACAGGAUUAGAUACCCUGGUAGUCCACGCCGUAAACGAUGGGCACUAGGCGCUGGGGGGAGCGACCCCUUCGGUGCCGUCGCUAACGCAGUAAGUGCCCCGCCUGGGGAGUACGGUCGCAAGACUGAAACUCAAAGGAAUUGACGG